UAGAAGAGAUCAAAGAGGAAGGAUAUAAUACCAUUGAAAAUGGUGGAUGAUACAAAAAUUAAGAACAAAGUUCUUAAAGAGUUUAAUUAUAAAUUUUAAGCAUGCUACAAAGAGAUUUAGACCACCUAUCAUAAAUUCAAGGAAUGAUAUUGGUGGAAGGGCCUCUACAAAGAUGUGGAAGAAUUUAUGGCUUCUUACACUAAAUACCAAUUGUAAUCGAAAGUU
rnacentral:lncRNA from 1 species